CAGAUUCAGAAGGAGCUCCCUUCGGUUCAAAACAUGGGAUGAUUAGAGAGGGCUUGACACGGCUGCUGGUUCAUGGAUACCUUUGGGUUGCGAUGAGUGUGUUCUAAAACGCAGCUUGAAGGUUUGCAUGACUCAGGAGACGUGCUUGCCUUCUUAUUUCUUUGUUUGGAUUGAAGGGAGCUCCACCAUUUUUCCUU
rnacentral:pre_miRNA from 1 species